CGCGUAGGCGGCUAGAAAAGUCGGAUGUGAAAUUCCGGGGCUCAACCCCGGAGCUGCAUUUGAAACUCUCUAGCUAGAGUACAGUUAGGGUAAACGGAAUUCCACGUGUAGCGGUGAAAUGCGUAGAUAUGUGGAAGAACACCGGUGGUGAAGACGGUUUACUGGCUGUAACUGACGCUGAGGCGCGAAAGCAUGGGGAGGCAAAACA
rnacentral:rRNA from 1 species